CCUACGGGAGGCAGCAGUGGGGAAUAUUGCGCAAUGGGCGAAAGCCUGACGCAGCGACGCCGCGUGCGGGAUGAAGGUCUUCGGAUCGUAAACCGCUGUCGGGGGGGACGAAACCAAUGACGGUACCCCCAAAGGAAGCACCGGCUAACUCUGUGCCAGCAGCCGCGGUAAUACAGAGGGUGCGAGCGUUGUCCGGAAUCACUGGGCGUAAAGGGCGCGUAGGCGGCCUGAUAAGUAGGGGGUGAAAUCCUGCGGCUUAACCGCAGGGCUGCCUUCUAGACUGUCGGGCUCGAGCACAGUAGAGGCAGGUGGAAUUCCCGGUGUAGCGGUGGAAUGCGUAGAGAUCGGGAAGAACAUCAGUGGCGAAGGCGGCCUGCUGGGCUGUUGCUGACGCUGAGGCGCGACAGCGUGGGGAGCAAACAGGAUUAGAUACCCGAGUA
rnacentral:rRNA from 1 species